rnacentral:rRNA from 1 species
GUAAAAACGGGGGGGGGGGUGUUUGGGCGCCCCAUUUUUUUCCCCCCCCUUAAAUAAAUGGGGGGGGGGGGGAAUAGCCCCCCCAGGAGAAAAAAAUUUUGGGAGUUUUUAAUACCCCUCUUAAAAAAAAAAAUUUUUUUUUUUGGCCAUUCUUUAAAAAUUUUUAAAAAAAUUUCGGGGGGGUUUAAAGAAGGGGCCAUGGUUUUUUUUUUAAUUUUUUGGGGGGGGGUAAAAAACUUCCCCAAGGUUUCGGAAAAAAAGGGGGGCCGGAAAAGGGGGGUUCCCCCCCCAUGGGUAUUGAAGACACGGACCAAGCUCCUUACGGGGGCAGGCAGGAAGGAAAUAUGGCCCAAUGGGAGGAAAUUUUGAUGCAACCCAUGCCGGGUGCAGGAUGCGGGCCCUAUGGGUUGUAAACUGCUUUUUUACAAGAAGAAACCCUGGUAAGUGUACCAACUUGACGGUAUUGCAAGAAUAAGCACCGGCUAAUUCCGUGCCAGCAGCCGCGGUAAUUCGGAGGGUGCAAGCGUUAUCCGGAUUUAUUAGGUUAAAAGGGUUCGCAGGCGGAAUUUUAAGUCAGUGGUGAAAGCUUACAGCUCAACUGUAGAACUGCCAUUGAAACUGAUAUUCUUGAGUAUAGAUGAAGUGGGCGGAAUAUGUCAUGUAGCGGUGAAAUGCAUAGAUAUGACAUGGAACACCAAUUGCGAAGGCAGCUCACUAAACUAUUACUGACGCUCAUGAACGAAAGCGUGGGGAGCGAACAGGAUUAGAUACCCUGGUAGUCCACGCCGUAAACUAUGAUCACUAGAUGUUGGCGAUAUACUGUCAGUGUUUUAGAGAAAUCGUUAAGUGAUCCACCUGGGGAGUACGUUCGCAAGAAUGAAACUCAAAGGAAUUGACGGGGGCCCGCACAAGCGGAGGAACAUGUGGUUUAAUUCGAUGAUACGCGAGGAACCUUACCAAGGCUUAAAUGUAGAUUGACAGAUUGUGAAAACAGUUUUUCUUCGGACAAUUUACAAGGUGCUGCAUGGUUGUCGUCAGCUCGUGCCGUGAGGUGUCGGGUUAAGUCCCAUAACGAGCGCAACCCCUAUUUUUAGUUGCCAGCGAGUAAUGUCGGGAACUCUAGAAAGACUGCCUGUGUAAACAGUGAGGAAGGUGGGGAUGACGUCAAAUCAUCACGGCCCUUAUGUCUUGGGCUACACACGUGUUACAAUGGUUACUACAGUGGGCUGCCAUCUGGCAACAGAGAGCAAAUCCAUAAAGGUAAUCCCAGUACGGAUCGAAGGCUGCAACUCGACUCUGUGAAGUUGGAUUCGCUAGUAAUCGUAUAUCAUGCAAAGAUAUCUGAUUCCGGGCCC